rnacentral:misc_RNA from 1 species
UCCGGUUUGUCACCGGCAGUCCCCUUAGAGUGCUCAAGCAUAACCUGGUCGCAACUAAGGGUAAGGGUUGCGCUCGUUGCGGGACUUAACCCAACAUCUCACGACACGAGCUGACGACAACCAUGCAGCACCUGUGCUGGCUCCCUCGGAAAACCGAAGGUCGUCACCCUUUCAGGCUUCUACCACCAGCAUGUCAAACCCUGGUAAGGUUCUUCGCGUUGCAUCGAAUUAAACCACAUGCUCCACCGCUUGUGCGGGCCCCCGUCAAUUCCUUUGAGUUUCAACCUUGCGGCCGUACUCCCCAGGCGGGAUACUUAAUGCGUUAGCUGCGGCACGGAAGGGGUCGAACCUCCCACACCUAGUAUCCAUCGUUUACGGCCAGGACUAC